GUUAAGGAGUAGUUCUUUAUUAGCAACGGAAGUCAUUGUUGGGACUGACAGCUCAUCAAAUCUUCUUGCUGGUUCUGGGGAACCCACAGUUUUCGUACCAGCGUCAUCUCAUGUUAAUUGUGUCUCUGCAAGUGCACAAGCUGGUGAAAGAGAACCUAAACACAGUGAGGAUAUCAAGCCUGAUGAUACUCAAGUUUCAACUUCUAAAAUUAGUAAUCACAGUGACACUGAAAAUGAUGCACAACGAGAAGAAGAAUUCCCUGAAGUGAGAGUGGACUUCCAGGAGACAUUCUUAGGCCACACAAGUCCAAUAAGUCGUUGCCGUUUUUCUGCUACUGGGGACAAUGUUGCUAGUGCUUCUGUGGAUGGAACAGUCAGGAUAUGGACAUAUGACUCAUCAGCACCAACAUCAAGAAAUGCAACCAUCUAUUGUGGGGCAGAGAUCAUGUCACUUGAGUGGGAGUGCAAAUCUGACCGACUGGUAUAGACACUAUCGAUAUAGUAGACAUACAUUAUUAGGUUCCAUGGUUCUUGUUUCUUUUUCAUGUUAAUUGGUAUAUUUGCUAGCUUCAUUACUGGAUUAGUCUAAAGCUUCUGGAACUAAUGUUCAUCUUGAGAAAAGCUUCUCAUAGGCACAGCUGAUGGAGGAAUCAAAGCAUGGAAUGUCGAUGCUAAACGUGUUGUUUGUGAUCUUAGUUGCACAGAAGCAUUCCCAAGCGUGUUGGAUUUAAAAUGCAGCCCUGUGGAGCCAAUUUUCGUAUCUGCUGCUGCUUCGAGAUGGCCUGGUUUGAGUGACAUUGGUAAAUUGGGCUAUGCUUCUUUAACUGUCUGGAAUAUGAGGACAUGGAAAGCUAUGACAGUCCUGCCUCUUGGUGAAGAUCCACCUCCAAUUACUUCAGUAUGCUUCAAUCACAAUGGAAAACUUUUAGCAGCUGCAGCUACUGAUGGAAUGAUACACAUGUUUGAUAUGUCUGCUGGCUUGCAAAUUACUGGAUGGCCAGCACAUGAUUCUGCUAUUAGUUCUGUUAUGUUUGGUUCUGAUGAGACGAGCAUUUUCACUUUGGGUAUAGAUGGAAAGAUAUUUGAGUGGAGUUUGCAGAAUCAAGGCAAAGUACUUUGGUCAAGUGAUUGCAGCAGAUUCUGUAACCUUAGGAGUUCGUCACACUAUAAACAUGAAAUGGCUCUCGAUGCUUAUGGAAGAAGACUUCUGGUGACAUCCAACUCCCUGAGGGCACCUAUAUAUCAGGUGCGAGGUCAUGCAUAUGGGAUGAGAACUCUUCCGCAUAGUGCAUCUAUAACAACAGUAGACUGGCAUCCGACAUCACCCAUCUUCUUGACUGGAUCUGCAGAUCACUCUGUUCGGGUUACAUCUAUGGCGUGACAACUUCUGAUUUGUCUGGUGUGUUUAUUUGGAUAGUUGACUUAAAGGAGAUGAGUUGAAAAUGCAAUAUUUAUUCGUUCAUCUAGUGUCUUGGUUAACCUUAAAGCUAUCUGUCCAUUUUUAAGUUUAAUUACAACCGUUAGUCAAAGGGAUCAUCAGAAGCAGAGAGUAGAGUAUGAAGGUGGUAGCUCGUUGUAAUUGAGGCUUACUGAAAUAUUAACUCGAAAAAUGGCAAAGAAGAGAGGUGUUGCUUCAUGGACUCUUUGGGAACCACAAAAUCUCUUCAGGCGUCAUAAUUGAAUUCGGUGUAGAUUGUAUAAUAGUAGAACAAUAGCUUCGAAAAAUUGAAAAUUCUCUAGAUUAUUUAGCUUCAUGUGCUUGGUGUUCAAAUAUCAUCAUACCUAGUAUUUUGAUUGGUCCCCAUGAAAUCAGGGUGUUGUCUAUUACCUCAAGGUGUUGAUUGUUAAAAUUUUAAUGAUCAAUAAUUUGGAUUCUCCAACACUAGAGGUUCUUUUACAAUUACAUGUGGCCAAUUUCUUGUAACAUUCCAAUCCUU
rnacentral:misc_RNA from 1 species